rnacentral:rRNA from 1 species
ACCGGCAGCUCAAGUGGUGGCCAUUAUUAUUGGGCCUAAAGCGUUCGUAGCCGGUUUGAUAAGUCUCUGGUGAAAUCCCGCAGCUUAACUGUGGGACUUGCUGGAGAUACUAUCAGACUUGAGGUCGGGAGAGGUUAGGGGUACUCCCAGGGUAGGGGUAAAAUCCUAUAAUCCUGGGAGGAGCACCUGUGGCGAGGGCGCCUAACUGGAACGAACCUGACGGUGAGUAACUAAAUCCAGGGGCGCGAAACG